UAAGUGAGUGCUUUCACCAGAAGAGUGAACUAGAGAAGAAAUUAUCGAGUUUAACGAUUCAAGGAGUUGCUUCUACGGAGAGCAAUAUUUUGGUUAAACAUCUCCAAGAAGAGCUUAGGAAUUACGAGUCUGAAGUGAGAGAAGCAAGAAAAUUGAAAUCGUCUUAUGAGAACAUUGAGUUAUUAAAGGAGAAAUUAUUGGAAGAAAAGAGCCGCAAAGAAACGGCAGAGUCAGAGUUAUCCAAGUUACGAGAGUGCGAGCUAAAUAUGAGGAAGUUGGAGGACGAGUUGUCUUCUUGGAAGUUGAUGAUAAAAGACAUCCCUGAUGUGUCAUGCUGUGACGAUAUACCUCUUAAGUUUUCAGCUUUACAGAAAGAGGUGAUUGAUAACAUGAUUAAGGUGGGUGAGGCAAAUGCGCGAUUGAAACAAAUGGAGGUGGCUCUGGAUGCUGCCCAACUUGGCAAACAAAAUGCUGAAACUGAGACUGCAUUGGCUAAAGAGAAGGCAGAAGGCUUGAAAUUGGAGGUCAAUCAGAUUGAAUUGAUGCUUUCUGCGGUUACUGAAGAGAGAGAUAGGUUGAAAAAUAUUGUUGAUGAAUUGAGGAAGUCAAAGAAUGAACAAGCAGGGGAUGGAGCAGCUUCUGGAAGUCUUCUUCAGGAACUUGAAUCAUCUCUUAUGAAGAGGGAUUGUUUAAUUAAAGAAUUGGAGCGUAAUUUACAUGAAAAAAAAGAAGUUAAUAAUCGACAACUUGAUGAAAUAAAGUUGCUCAAUGACAGGCUGAAUAAUGAAGCUAGGAGAAUCAAAUCGCUGGAAAGGGAGAGUGACCGGCUUCGUUCAGAGAUUUCUCUAUUGGAGUCCAAGCUAGGUCAUGGUGACUAUUCUGCCGCAAACACAAAAGUAUUGAGAAUGGNNNNNNNNNNUGAUAAUGAUGCCAAACAAACUAUAGAGGCUUUGCGUACUGAGUUGCAGAAGACAAAGGAGAAGUUACAAGCUGUUGAAGAAUUAAAGAGUCAGUCAGGCGAUGCUGGAAAGCUGGUGGAUUCCUAUAUAUCUGGGAAAAUGACACAGUUAAAAGAACAAAUUGCAACUCUUGAAAAACGUGAAGAAAGAUACAAGACUGUUUUUGCUGAUAGAAUUUCAGUGUUUAGGAGGGCAUGUUGCGAAUUGUUUGGUUACAAGAUUGUAAUGGAUGAACACCAGCGGUCGAAUGGAAUUCCGGUUACUCAUUUUACCCUUCAGUCUAUCUAUGCGCAAAAUGAUGAUGAGAAGCUUGAAUUUGAAUAUGAAUCAGGAAAUACAAACAUUUUGGCGAAUGCUUACACCUCUCAGUCUGAGAUAUCUCGUCAGGUUGAUAUAUUUAUUCAUAAGAUGAAUUCUAUCCCAGCGUUCACAGCCAACUUGACAGUGGAGUCUUUCAACAGAAGAACUCUAUCUUGAUACAAAUCAAAAUACCAAGAUUUCCCCAGAUGCUCCUGAUUUCUCGUAUGUUGAAAAUCAGUGUGUUCUGUAUCUUAAUUAUUUUAUUUCCCAGUUGAUUAUGCUGUUAACUUAGCAUGAUCUUUUUAAUUAUACAGCUGCGAAAGAGAGAUUUGAUGCUUUUGUAUUAUUAGCAUGUGAAAUGAACUGCCAAAAAUAUGUUGGUUUUUGGCACUUCAAGAUUUGAUGGUGAUUCUCUGUUCCGCAUAUGCCCCUGGAUGCUGUUGAUAUGC
rnacentral:misc_RNA from 1 species